AUGAACGCUGGCGGCGUGCCUCAUACCUGCACGUCGAGCGAACAGAUGAGGAGCUUGCUCCUCUGACGUUAGCGGCGGACGGGUGAGUAACACGUGGAUAACCUACCUAUAAGACUGGGAUAACUUCGGGAAACCGGAGCUAAUACCGGAUAAUAUAUUGAACCGCAUGGUUCAAUAGUGAAAGACGGUUUUGCUGUCACUUAUAGAUGGAUCCGCGCCGCAUUAGCUAGUUGGUAAGGUAACGGCUUACCAAGGCAACGAUGCGUAGCCGACCUGAGAGGGUGAUCGGCCACACUGGAACUGAGACACGGUCCAGACUCCUACGGGAGGCAGCAGUAGGGAAUCUUCCGCAAUGGGCGAAAGCCUGACGGAGCAACGCCGCGUGAGUGAUGAAGGUCUUCGGAUCGUAAAACUCUGUUAUUAGGGAAGAACAAAUGUGUAAGUAACUAUGCACGUCUUGACGGUACCUAAUCAGAAAGCCACGGCUAACUACGUG
rnacentral:rRNA from 1 species